rnacentral:rRNA from 1 species
AGAGUUUGAUCCUGGCUCAGGAUGAACGCUGGCGGCGUGCUUAACACAUGCAAGUUGCGCGGGGAUCUGAUGAUGAGACUUCGGUGGAUUUGUUAGAUCCUAGCGGCGGACGGGUGAGUAAAGCACAAGGACGUGUCCGAGCGAGGGGGACAACUGCGGGAAACCGUAGCUAAUACCCCGUAAGCCGAGAGGUAAAAGCAGCAAUGCGCGAGCGGAGCGACUUGUGUCCUAUCAGGUAGUUGGUGAGGCAACGGCUCACCAAGCCGAAGACGGGCAGCCGGCCUGAGAGGGUGUCCGGCCACACUGGGACUGAGAUACGGCCCAGACUCCUACGGGAGGCAGCAGUGGGGAAUAUUGGGCAAUGGGAGAAAUCCUGACCCAGCGACGCCGCGUGAAUGAAGAAGGCCUUCGGGUCGUAAAGUUCUUUUAUGCGGGAAGAGGGAAGUGACGGUACCGCAUGAAUAAGCCCCGGCUAACUACGUGCCAGCAGCCGCGGUAAUACGUAGGGGGCGAGCGUUGUCCGGAAUUACUGGGCGUAAAGGGCACGCAGGCGGUGCAUCAAGUCAGCUGUAAAAGGAUGCGGCUUAACCGUAUUAUGCAGUUGAGACUGAAGUACUGGAGUGCUGGAGAGGCAAGUGGAAUUCCCAGUGUAGCGGUGAAAUGCGUAGAUAUUGGGAAGAACAUCGGUGGCGAAGGCGACUUGCUGGCCAGUAACUGACGCUGAGGUGCGAAAGCCAGGGUAGCAAACGGGAUUAGAUACCCCGGUAGUCCUGGCCGUAAACGAUGAAUGCUAGGUGUGCGUGCAGAGAUGCAGGUGUGCCGCAGUUAACGCGAUAAGCAUUCCGCCUGGGGAGUACGCACGCAAGUGUGAAACUCAAAGGAAUUGACGGGGACCCGCACAAGCGGUGGAACAUGUGGUUUAAUUCGAAGCAACGCGAAGAACCUUACCAGGGCUUGACAUCUGAGGAACCUUGAUGAAAGUCGAGGGUGCUCUUCGGAGAGCCUCAAGACAGGUGGUGCACGGUUGUCGUCAGCUCGUGUCGUGAGAUGUUGGGUUAAGUCCCACAACGAGCGCAACCCUCGUUGUUAGUUGCAUGCAUCGGUAUACUGGUGCAGUGCUCUCUAGCAUGACUGCCGGUGAUAAACCGGAGGAAGGUGGGGACGACGUCAAAUCAUCAUGCCCCUUAUGCUCUGGGCUACACACGUGUUACAAUGGUUGGUACAACGAGCCGCAAACUCGCGAGAGCAAGCAAAUCUCUUAAAACCAGCCUCAGUUCGGAUUGCAGUCUGCAACUCGACUGCAUGAAGUCGGAAUCGCUAGUAAACGCAGAUCAGCACGCUGCGUUGAAUACGUUCCCGGGUCUUGUACACACCGCCCGUCACACCAUGGAAGUCGACCACGCCCGAAGUACGUGGGCUAACCGUAAGGAAGCAGCGUCCUAAGGCAGGGUUGGUGACUGGGGUGAAGUCGUAACAAGGUAACCGUA